ensembl:snoRNA
AUCUUAAGAUCUUUUUUGGUGUCACGCUGUUGUGUGAGAUAUGCCUUCCUCUAAACCUUGUUAGGACUUAGGCACAUUAUCUGUCUAAUA